GGGUCAGUAGGUUGGUCGUGCCACCGGUACGUACUGGUCUCACUGAUUCCUCCUUCCUGAAGAACCGUAAUGCCAUUAAUUUGGUGUUGCGGGGAAACAGGACUGUUACUUUGAAACAAUUAGAGUGUUUAAAGCAAGCUAACGCUUGAAUACGUUAGCAUGGAAUAAUGAAAUAGGACGAUCGAUCCUAUUUUGUUGGUUUCUAGGAUUGACGUA
rnacentral:rRNA from 1 species